AUCUUCCGCAAUGGACGAAAGUCUGACGGAGCAACGCCGCGUGAGUGAUGAAGGCUUUCGGGUCGUAAAACUCUGUUGUUAUGGAAGAACACGUGCUAGUUGAAUAAGCUGUCACCUUGACGGUACCUAACCAGAAAGACACGGCUAAUUACGGGCAAGCAGCCGCGGUAAUACGUAGGUGGCAAGCGUUAUCCGGAAUUAUUGGGCGUAAAGCGCGCGCAGGUGGUUUCUUAAGUCUGAUGUGAAAGCCCACGGCUCAACCGUGGAGGGUCAUUGGAAACUGGGAGACUUGAGUGCAGAAGAGGAAAGUGGAAUUCCAUGUGUAGCGGUGAAAUGCGUAGAGAUAUGGAGGAACACCAGUGGCGAAGGCGACUUUCUGGUCUGUAACUGACUCUGAGGCGCGAAAGCGUGGGGAGCAAACAG
rnacentral:rRNA from 1 species